AUUGAACGCUGGCGGCAGGCCUAACACAUGCAAGUCGAGCGGAUGAAGGGAGCUUGCUCCUGGAUUCAGCGGCGGACGGGUGAGUAAUGCCUAGGAAUCUGCCUGGUAGUGGGGGAUAACGUCCGGAAACGGGCGCUAAUACCGCAUACGUCCUGAGGGAGAAAGUGAGGGAUCUUCGGACCUCACGCUAUCAGAUGAGCCUAGGUCGUAUUAGCUAGUUGGUGGGGUAAAGGCCUACCAAGGCGACGAUCCGUAACUGGUCUGAGAGGAUGAUCAGUCACACUGGAACUGAGACACGGUCCAGACUCCUACGGGAGGCAGCAGUGGGGAAUAUUGGACAAUGGGCGAAAGCCUGAUCCAGCCAUGCCGCGUGUGUGAAGAAGGUCUUCGGAUUGUAAAGCACUUUAAGUUGGGAGGAAGGGCAGUAAGUUAAUACCUUGCUGUUUUGACGUUACCAACAGAAUAAGCACCGGCUAACUUCGUG
rnacentral:rRNA from 1 species